rnacentral:tRNA from 1 species
AUUUAUAUAGUAUAAAGUAUAUGUGACUUCCAAUCACAAGGUCUAAAUAAUUUUAGUAUAAAUA